GGAGACUUCGACUCAGCUGGCGUGGGAUCGAUGCGCCGUCGCGUCGUUCCUCCAAGCUGUAUGUCAGAGGAGCAAUUCCAUUUGGAUGAGAUCUGCACUGGAUGAUGGCACCUUCAUCUCUAGACCUCCUGAUCCAUUGUCGUGUUGGACUGUCGAGAAUUCGACUGUCGACGGGUGCCGUAGACCAGGGUGCUGACUGCUGAGUGUUGGUGAUGCUUGGCCCCGUCGACGACGGAUACAUAUGCUUCUCGACUCAGCCACCGGCAAGUCACUCUUCAGGUUUUGUGCUUGCUCUGGCCUGGAGGCAAAUGGAUACCGCAUCUUCCUUUUCUGGUUUCUGUGUAGGUAUCUCUGAUGAUAAGGCCUUAUUAGACAGAGAUUAGUCGAGGAAGAUUGAAUUUCCAAAUCCCAAGUAGGAUUCUUGUUUUGAUAUCUUGAAGAUCCAUUCAAGGUAAUGAACUUGAUGCACAUAUUGCCUUCGUCCUGGAAACAAUGAUUUGAACUGCAUUGGCUACUGGAUUGUCGAGUCAGUUGCCAAGAAGAUGCUUAAAUAGGAUUGUCUGCUUGCUGUUCCUUCAUCCACAAUACUUCCAUAAAAUGAUUUUGUUGAUUCAAAAUUGCAUGAGCUGCAGCUUGGUAUUUUCAACGCCCCUCAGUGUCCAUUAGGCAAGCUCAAAGUUAAUUGUGGGUAUCACUGGGGAUGUGAUUUGUUUUGGUUUUUUGAUUUUCUGAGAACAUAUAUGGAUAUAGCUGUACGGACAACAUAUGUGGAUAUAGUUGUACAGGCAGUAAAUCUAAUAUCUUGUGCUUA